rnacentral:rRNA from 1 species
CCAUACCACCCUGAAUGUGCCUGAUCUCAUCCGAUCUUAGAAGGUAAGCAGGGUCAGGCCUGGUUAGUAGUUGGAUGGCAGAAAGAACAGGCAG